CCCAGAGCCGCCUGCCCUGUAGUUCCCUGAAGUAUUCACGGUUUUCGAGACGUGACCGUGAGUUGGUUGUGCUUUCUGGAUUACUGAAAUGUUUGUUUGCUUCAAGUGGAAUUAUUUAAAAGAUUAUGCUACCACACCAAUCACAGAGCAGAUGGAGGUGAUGGAGCCCUGAGACUGAGAUAACUGGAUUCCUGGGUGACCGCAUGGAGGACAAUUGCCCUGACAA